rnacentral:lncRNA from 1 species
GAAAAGCAGCAGCUGGAAGGGUUUCGCUCCUUCCCUUGUGUCAUGACGUGGAACUUCUUACAGCAUAUGACCCGGGGUCGGCUUUCUGGACUAGGCCCACAAUGUCUGCGCCCUGCUCAGGGUUCUGCCAAGAUGGGAGUCAGAAAGCAUUGGACACUCGGCCCCAGGAGCACGCAGCUCCAGCCUGACCGCUCUCACAGGACUGGGCCAACUGAUGAUGGGGGAGGACAACUCCUAGGAGUGACAUGUUCCUCACGGCCUCCCAGAAGUUCCCAGCAGGACCGAGCCCCAGAAGUCCCCAGCAGGAACCUGCCCUCUCAUGCACCCUGCACUGGCUGCCUUCCCUGUCUCACUUCCUCCCUCCGUACUGCUGUCUUCUGGUGAUGUCUUCCAGAUAAACUGUUUGCACUGGAAUCCUGGUCUCAAGGUCUCCUUCUGGAGGAAGCCAACCUAAGACACAACCUUAUAGGCCCAUUAUGCUAAUUAAAUGAGAUAACUGUCAAAUGCUUACAAUUAUUCUAGACCCGCAAUAGAUGCUCAAUAAACAUAAGCUAUGAGGGGG